AUAGAGGAUACGAAGUACACCGGAUCUAUUGCAGGAUCAGGAGGUCGUGAGGAUGAAGAUUGUGAUCAAAGUUUUGUCUUUCCUUCUUGUGUUGUCAUCGGUGGUGCUGAUGACGAAUUCAAACAGGAUGACAAGAAAUUUUUUCGGCUCUCGAUCGGCGUGUCCUUGUGCCAUCCCUCCGUGUCCUUGCUAGAAAAAUAUAGAUGGCUGUCAAACACUAGCGUCAGUUGGCAACGUGGAGAGGACUCUGCAACCGCUGAACGUUGAAAGUAUUCCUCAGCGAGAUAUGUUAGGAGUCAUCAUGGUAUAUAUGCAGGAUACGUCACCUAUAUAAAAGCGCUUAUCACUAAAACUAACUGUGAGAAAGUCACCACUCAUUCAACUAGUUUGGAUGAUGUCUAAUACUUAAUCGGGAAAUUACGAUCUAAUUGUGAUCUAAUUUUUGCGUCGGAUCAAAGGAAUAAAGUUACCCUCCUA
rnacentral:lncRNA from 1 species